rnacentral:tRNA from 1 species
GCCUGGGUGGCUCAGUCGGUUGAGCGUCUGACUUCGGCUCAGGUCAUGAUCUCGCAGUCUGUGAGUUUGAGCCCCGCGUCGGGCU